UACGUAGGGGGCUAGCGUUGUCCGGAUUUAUUGGGCGUAAAGAGCGUGUAGGCGGCCAGGUAGGUCUGCUGUGAAAACUCGAGGCUCAACCUCGAGACGUCGGCGGAAACCAUCUGGCUAGAGUCCGGAAGAGGAGAGUGGAAUUCCUGGUGUAGCGGUGAAAUGCGCAGAUAUCAGGAAGAACACCCGUGGCGAAGGCGGUCU
rnacentral:rRNA from 1 species